rnacentral:rRNA from 1 species
CCUACGGGACGCAGCAGUGAGGAAUAUUGGUCAAUGGCCGAGAGGCUGAACCAGCCAAGUCGCGUGAGGGAAGACGGCCCUACGGGUUGUAAACCUCUUUUGUCGGGGAGCAAAGCGAGUCACGUGUGACUCAUUGAGAGUACCCGAAGAAAAAGCAUCGGCUAACUCCGUGCCAGCAGCCGCGGUAAUACGGAGGAUGCGAGCGUUAUCCGGAUUUAUUGGGUUUAAAGGGUGCGUAGGCGGACUGGAAAGUCAGCGGUAAAAUCGAGAGGCUCAACCUCUUUCCGCCGUUGAAACUGUCGGUC